rnacentral:rRNA from 1 species
UCGCCUGUUUAUCAAAAACAUGGUUUCUUGAAGUAUAUAGGAAAUCUAACCUGCCCACUGAGGAUUUUGAAGGGCCGCAGUAUUUUGACUGUGCAAAGGUAGCAUAAUCAUUAGUCUUUUAAUUGAGGGCUGGUAUGAAUGGUUGGACGAGGUAAAGUCUGUCUUAUUAUAAUUAUAAUUGAAAUUAGAAGUUAAGUUAAAAUUCUUAAGUGUAUUUAGGGGACGAGAAGACCCUAUAGAGUUUAAUAAAGUGUAUAUAAUUGAUUAAGUUUAAUGUUAAUUUUUAAUUAAUUAUUUACUUUAUUUGGUUGGGGUGAUUUAAAGAUAUAUAAAACUCUUUAUAGAUAUUAAUAUUAUAUAUAGUUUAUUGAUCCAUAAUAUUGUGAUUAAAAGAUUAAAUUACCUUAGGGAUAACAGCAUAAUUCUUUUGAAGAGUUCAUAUCGAAAAAGGAGUUUGUGACCUCGAUGUUGGAUUAAGAUAAAUUUUGGGUGUAGAUGUUUAAAAUAUUAGGUCUGUUCGACCUUUAAUUUCUUACAUGAUCUGAGUUCAAACCGGAGA